GGAUCCCAUCAAAACUCCGAAGUUAAGCGUGCUUGGGCGAGAGUAGUACUAGGAUAGGUGACCUCCUGGGAAGUCCUCGUGUUGCAUUCUC
rnacentral:rRNA from 1 species